rnacentral:misc_RNA from 1 species
GAUGAACGUAGCGAAAUGCGAUAAGUAAUGUGAAUUGCAGAAUUCAGUGAAUCAUCGAAUCUUUGAACGCACAUUGCGCCCCUUGGUAUUCCGAGGGGCAUGCCUGUUCGAGCGUCAUUAUAACCCCUCAAGCUCAGCUUGGUGUUGGGGCCUGCUGCACUGGCAGCCCUUAAAAUCAGUGGCGGCGCCAUCUGGCUCUAAGCGUAGUAAUUCUUCUCGCUAUGGAGUCCUGGUGGAUGCUUGCCAUCAACCCCCAAUUUUUCUAUGGUUGACCUCGGAUCAGGUAGGGAUACCCGCUGAACUUAAGCAUAUCAAUAAGCGGAGGA